rnacentral:rRNA from 1 species
UGGGGAAUAUUGCGCAAUGGGCGGAAGCCUGACGCAGCGACGCCGCGUGAGGGAUGACGGCCUUCGGGUUGUAAACCUCUUUCGGUAGGGACGAAGCGUGAGUGACGGUACCUACAGAAGAAGCGCCGGCCAACUACGUGCCAGCAGCCGCGGUAAGACGUAGGGCGCAAGCGUUGUCCGGAUUUAUUGGGCGUAAAGAGCUCGUAGGCGGCGUGUCGCGUCGUCCGUGAAAACCUGCAGCUUAACUGUGGGCGUGCGGUCGAUACGGGCAUGCUAGAGGCAGGUAGGGGAGAUCGGAAUUCCUGGUGUAGCGGUGAAAUGCGCAGAUAUCAGGAGGAACACCGGUGGCGAAGGCGGAUCUCUGGGCCUGUUCUGACGCUGAGGAGCGAAAGCGUGGGGAGCGAACAGG